UAGUAAUUAUAUUUAAAGUAAGGAAAAAAAUAUUUAAAUGGAGUAUAACAAUAUAUUAAGAUUUCAAUUUAACUUAUUUGGAAAUACUGUAUCUAAUUGAUUAACUUUAUCCUGUUUCUUUGCGCUCGAGGAUAGAAAUGAUUUCUGUUUAUUUGUAACUUAUGAGUUUAGAAAUUAAAUGGUUGAGUGGUGGUUGUCGACCGAGAUGUAAAUGUUUAGUUUUUUAAUCAUUUCCUUGUCGGGGGGGAGAGGGGGGAGCGAGACCAAAGCACACCCCGUCUAUCGGUUCCUCCCGUGUGGGGGGGUCAGACGUUACACCUGAGACCGGGCGGGAUGUCCUCUGGGCUCCUUCUCUAAAUGUAGCCCACGUGGGGGGUCAGUGUCAGGAGUUCAGGCCUGUAUGAUAAUUACUAGAGGGGGGAGAGGGGGUCACGUAUUUAAAAUCUUUGCUUCGGGGGAUUUUUAACCCAGAAUUUUUUACAUUCCCUCUGUUGGCACUAACAGAGAAUGGCUGUUUAUUUUGAAAUAAUAAAGUAAGGACAUUGCAAUUUGUAGAAGUUAGAGGGAGGGUCCAGAGAAAAAUAUUUUCUUUUUUAGAAUAUAAAAUAAGAGUCGCCCCCCCCCCCUCUCAACAGUGUAAUAAUUUUCACACAGUCCCUGAUUGAAGUUGUUGGAAUCACACUGAGGAAAGAAGCGGUUUUUAAUGUAACAAAGGUCAAAGCCGCUCUUGUGGCCGCGUCCCAACGCUGUCCACCAGCUCCCCCUCCUUGUCCUCUUUCCGUGUCUCCUCAUGUUGGACACUGGGCUCCCUGGAGGGGAGAUGGAGGGAAGAAGGUUGCCUUGAGUCGUCCUCCCAGGUGCUUGCAAGCACUGCGUUUAAAAAAAAGCAAAAGCAAAAACAGAACCAGAUUGUAUGUUAUUAUUCAUGUGACUUAAUUUACAUAGCAGCUUUGCAUGGACACAUCUGCGUCCUUUGUUGCCACGACAACAAGCCAGAGAGUCGGGGGGGGGGGGUCGGCGGCGCGGGGGUCACGCGCUGAGUGACCUUCGCCGGUGAGUCAAAGGGCCGUGUUGUCACAUCGAUGCUCGUUGUCAGCGUAUAUUUUGAUAUAUUUGGGAAGUAGGGCGGAUAUACAAUAUAAAGUCUAGAUAUUUUUUGAGUAGAGAAGCGACGUGUGUAUCGGAUUAUUGUCACGCUUUCUGAAAAUCUCUUGGAUUCUUUUGGGAAGAAUUAUAUAACGUCCCUGCUGAUUUCAUGUUCCAUCGAAAGAAUAUUUAUAAAAUUGGUCC
ensembl:lncRNA